rnacentral:rRNA from 1 species
AGGUCAAGAUAGUAAGGGCGCACGGUGGAUGCCUUGGCGCCAGGAGCCGAUGAAGGCCGUGGCAAGCUGCGAUAAGCCUCGGG